UUCAAGGUAAGAGGUAUCAUCCGGAGC
rnacentral:sRNA from 1 species